rnacentral:rRNA from 1 species
GAUGAACGCUGGCGGCGUGCCUAAUACAUGCAAGUCGAGCGAACGGACGAGAAGCUUGCUUCUCUGAUGUUAGCGGCGGACGGGUGAGUAACACGUGGAUAACCUACCUAUAAGACUGGGAUAACUUCGGGAAACCGGAGCUAAUACCGGAUAAUAUUUUGAACCGCAGGGUUCAAAAGUGAAAGACGGUCUUGCUGUCACUAAUAGAUGGAUCCGCGCUGCAUUAGCUAGUUGGUAAGGUAACGGCUUACCAAGGCAACGAUGCAUAGCCGACCUGAGAGGGUGAUCGGCCACACUGGAACUGAGACACGGUCCAGACUCCUACGGGAGGCAGCAGUAGGGAAUCUUCCGCAAUGGGCGAAAGCCUGACGGAGCAACGCCGCGUGAGUGAUGAAGGUCUUCGGAUCGUAAAACUCUGUUAUUAGGGAAGAACAUAUGUGUAAGUAACUGUGCACAUCUUGACGGUACCUAAUCAGAAAGCCACGGCUAACUACGUG